AUUGUACCCAAAAGUUCAUAAAUGGAUGUUUUCUCUCAAAUCAUAAUAGCUUGUAAUUCUCAAAAAAUAUUGCGCAGUGUUAUCUAUUCACAAGCAUAAUAUUAAACGGAUGAUUGUAACUGAGGAUUCUGAAGUAUUACAGUGUUGGUAAAUGGCGUCUUUUUUCCUUCGUCCUCUCUGCUCUCUUUUACCCACAUUCAUUUCUGUCCCCAUUCUCCCCUCUGGCUGUGUUUUAAAACCCAUUGGUCUGAUCUCUUCUGACAGCUGUUCUUUUUGGGAGGGGCCAUGCUGAACUUGUUAUAAUGAUGGGAGGUUAAAAGCAGUAGAUGAACAGUGCAAGGCUACAUAUCUCCUCAUUUUGCUUUCGUAGCCAUAAGUCAGAGACGGCAACCGACUCCGCAUAAAAAGCUUACAUAACCCUUCCAUCUGUUUGGGCUGAAAAUCCAUUGCAUCAGGCUGUAUGCACAAUGAUUAUUCGCCUUGGACGCCUCACACCUGGGUAUUUCCGUCUACUGCAGCUGCAGGUAUCUGGAGAAGUGGCCUCAGAGCCCAAAGACAGAUUAGUGAAUCAUCUGGCAUUUCUUCUUGCCCUCAUGGGUCUUGGACUAUCCUACUACAGUGUCCGCCAGAUGAUGCAAAAGUCCAGCUUUCAUGGUUCACAUGGACAUAGAUGAGACUACUGCAAGAUGGGGAGAGGAAAGUGCUUGAUGCUAUCCCAGGCAGACAGGUCAAUAAUGUAUGUAAAUAAAGAAUAGGAUUUAGGAUUCAUAUCUUCCUAGUUUUAGUGGGGAAGAUCAAGAAAGUGCCACAAGAAAACAGUAAUGUGCAAAAAGAAUGUAUAUGGAGGACUGAGAAUGUAGAAGAGCUAAAUAUACACAGCUUUCAUUGUUACAAAUUGCAAAGCAUGAUCUCUGAUAUCCCAGGACAGACAGAGGUCUUAUUUCCCAGAAAAGCAUACAGGUGUUUUUAUAAUUCAGAAUAAUAUACAGCAUUUAAGGUACGAGUAUAAGCUAUGUAUUCUUGUUUACAAAAUGUAAAUGGUGGACAGCCAAUUGGUAAAUCUAUGUAUGCAUAUUGCAAGUUAUCCAAGUGACUCUAUAACUGUAAAAGGAUUGUGUAUGAUGUUAAAAUGCAAAGAGGAAAAAUAGAUAUAGCUAACUAAAUAAAUCAUGAUUUACUAUGGCCAUUUUACUGAGAAAAAGACGACCUAUUAUUUAUAAUAUAGGAAUACACCCAGGCACUUUAUGUUCUUAUUAAUGUUUAAUAUUUAUAGCCAUAACCCUUUCCCCCCAGCUUCACAAAGAGAAUUCAAUGAUCUCAUACUUAGUUGUCGAUGUACGCUAGAUUUUCUUUUCUAUGCUUCAGUUAUAUCACAGUAUUAAAGGUUGCAUUAGACAUCCAAAUUUGCCACAAUGUUUCUCAUUUGUCUUUAACAUAUGAUGUAUUCAUUUAAUAUAAACUGUUGCUCUCAGAAUAAGCUUUCCUUUUGGAUCACUAGUUAUUAAUUGUCACAAUUGUUUUGUUCACACGCACUUGUUUUUCCUUGUCUGACAACAAAUAAAUAGUUGUACAACAGUA